GACGUUCUUCGUGGGUCUCGAGCUGGUCAAGGAAAAAUUAAGAAAGAAACAUUUCUACUAAGGCCAAUAUUACCCUGUCUACUUUGCUUCUUCAUGAUGGUGGCUGGGGAUGGAGAAGAUUAAAGUUUUUGCCUUAGUGAUAUGGGAAGCAGUAAAUUGUUAUAGAGAAAAUUGUUAACUUGCUCAUAAAUGAGUGGAAUUCAAAAUAUUGUUUGAAUCUAUUGAAUUUUAGCUUAAGCCAUCAUUCAUUUUUAAUUUAUCUUCUCCAUUCUUACAUGG
rnacentral:misc_RNA from 1 species